GCGGCGGUGGUGUAAGGCGAACAUCGCUGCCCGGAAAGCAGAAGAUGCGGGUUCGAGUCCCGCCUGGCGCA
rfam:Heligmosomoides polygyrus genome assembly, scaffold: HPBE_scaffold0009830